rnacentral:rRNA from 1 species
UACGGGGGGGGGCAAGCGUUGUUCGGAAUUACUGGGCGUAAAGGGCGCGUAGGCGGCCUACUAAGUCAGACGUGAAAUCCCUCGGCUUAACCGGGGAACUGCAUCUGAUACUGGAUGGCUUGAGUUCGGGAGAGGGAUGCGGAAUUCCAGGUGUAGCGGUGAAAUGCGUAGAUAUCUGGAGGAACACCGGUGGCGAAGGCGGCAUCCUGGACCGACGCUGACGCUGAGGAGCGAAAGCCAGGGGAGCAAAGCGGG